UUCUCUCGUUAGUAUCACACUUGUUUGUCUACCUACGACCCUUUGGAGUAGAAAGUGCAACAAACAAAUGGACCCCAGUCAAGUGGAGGGCUAUUCACCCUCAAUGCAGAAGGAGUGCAACCGAAAAUCUUAAAACAGAUUCACGUCUGGAUAACUCAAUUGAUAUUUAAGGUCAUGGAAUGUAACAACAUUGAAAAAUGGUGUAUCAAUUCCAAGUACAUGGUGGAUCUCCGUGGAAUCGAACCCCAUCCCUCGACUCUUCAAUCUGGAGACCGAGAUGCUGGCAAGAGUCCGCCGCAUUUCCUAAUGUAUCUUUGGGUACCAUUGGCUUAAGUAUCGAUUUUGUCACACGCCAAAGAUUGAAAUUUGUAUACGGUGCACCAAAAUAAUCUUAUUUUUACUUCCA